rnacentral:rRNA from 1 species
AACGAACGCUGGCGGCAUGCCUAACACAUGCAAGUCGAACGAGACCUUCGGGUCUAGUGGCGCACGGGUGCGUAACGCGUGGGAACCUGCCCUUAGGUUCGGAAUAACUCCCCGAAAGGGGUGCUAAUACCGGAUAAUGUCUUCGGACCAAAGAUUUAUCGCCUUUGGAUGGGCCCGCGUUGGAUUAGCUUGUUGGUAGGGUAAAGGCCUACCAAGGCGACGAUGCAUAGCUGGUCUGAGAGGGUGAUCAGCCACACUGGGACUGAGACACGGCCCAGACCCCUACGGGAGGGGGCAGUGGGGAAGGGGAAAAUAGGGGAGGGGGCAUAAUCCAGCACCGCCGCGGCCGGGAUGACGGUAAUGGGGUUGUGGUUUUAAUUCUCUUUUCCCGGAGAGAAAAUGACGGUAAGCGGAGAAAAAGCACCGGCCAACUACGUG